UACGGGGGGGGCAAGCGUUGUUCGGAAUUACUGGGCGUAAAGGGCUCGUAGGCGGCCAACUAAGUCAGACGUGAAAUCCCUCGGCUUAACCGGGGAACUGCGUCUGAUACUGGAUGGCUUGAGUGUGGGAGAGGGAUGCGGAAUUCCAGGUGUAGCGGUGAAAUGCGUAGAUAUCUGGAGGAACACCGGUGGCGAAGGCGGCAUCCUGGGCCAUUACUGACGCUGAGUGAGCGAAAGCCAGGGGAGCAAACGGG
rnacentral:rRNA from 1 species